CAUAGGUUAAUGAGGCGAACCGGGGGAACUGAAACAUCUAAGUACCCCGAGGAAAAGAAAUCAACCGAGAUUCCCCCAGUAGCGGCGAGCGAACGGGGAGGAGCCCAGAGCCUGAAUCAGCAUGUGUGUUAGUGGAAGCGUCUGGAAAGGCGCGCGAUACAGGGUGACAGCCCCGUACACAAAAGCGCAUGUGCUGUGAGCUCGAUGAGUAGGGCGGGACACGUGGUAUCCUGUCUGAAUAUGGGGGGACCAUCCUCCAAGGCUAAAUACUCCUGACUGACCGAUAGUGAACCAGUACCGUGAGGGAAAGGCGAAAAGAACCCCGGCGAGGGGAGUGAAAAAGAACCUGAAACCGUGUACGUACAAGCAGUGGGAGCACCCUUUGGGG
rnacentral:rRNA from 2 species